AGGAGAAUUAAUGUGCGGUCUCUGAAACAUUAAUCGAGGGAUGCAAAGAGCUAGGAAGAAUAACUCAACCACACAGAACCACUUCAUCCUUUUAUAGUUAAUCCCUCUUUAGUUUUCUGUUACUAUGUCAUGCAGAAAGGCCAUAUGUUACUCAUGCGUUUGGAUCCCUGAAGCGUGUGGAUAUGGACUUGAGGGAAAGCUAAAAUAGAAAAAAAACCAAUAGAGGAAAACACUUGCAUGUAGAGAGAAUAUGAAUUGUACUGCUUUGAUUCUAA
rnacentral:misc_RNA from 1 species